CUCAAAUCAAGCUGCGCCUUGGUCCGUCCAUUUCAACAAUCGUGACAAUCUCAGACUUUAUCCUCCAUGAUUCUACUCAUGUACAUGUAGUAGUAGUAGUAGUAUGUAUUCAUCAGGUUUAUGUGUGGUUGUUUUAAAAAAAAUGUACACAUUUAACUAAAACUGUAUUUGUGUAAAAGACAAAACUAAAAGACAAAACUAAAAACUUGACUCAUGUUGAAUCAGGUGCUGUACUGUGAGUCACUGUAAUGACAAGGUGAUUCUGAUGAUUACUCAGUCUGUCACACAUGACAAACACAUACCGUAGGCUACACUCGGAAGGAUUGUCUACACAAAUGUGCAUCUUUUAAUUGGCACAAAAGCCAUGAUUUAACAGGAACACUUGGAAACAACUGUGUCCAAUUACAACAGCUGCUCUAAACACUUACCUGUGACCAGUAGGUCAUGUAUCACUUACUGUUUCCAAUUACAACAGCUGCUCUAAACACUUACCUGUGACCAGUAGGUCAUGUAUCACUUACUGUUUCCAAUUACAACAGCUGCUCUAAACACUUACCUGUGACCAGUAGGUCAUGUAUCAAUUACUGUUUCCAAUUACAACAGCUGCUCUAAACACUUACCUGUGACCAGUAGGUCAUGUAUCACUUACUGUUUCCAAUUACAACAGCUGCUCUAAACACUUACCUGUGACCAGUAGGUCAUGUAUCACCUACUGUUUCCAAUUACAACAGCUGCUCUAAACACUUACCUGUGACCAGUAGGUCAUGUAUCACUUACUGUUUCCAAUUACAACAGCUGCUCUAAACACUUACCUGUGACCAGUAGGUCAUGUAUCACUUACUGUUUCCAAUUACAACAGCUGCUCUAAACACUUACCUGUGACCAGUAGGUCAUGUAUCAAUUACUGUUUCCAAUUACAACAGCUGCUCUAAACACUUACCUGUGACCAGUAGGUCAUGUAUCACUUACUGUUUCCAAUUACAACAGCUGCUCUAAACACUUACCUGUGACCAGUAGGUCAUGUAUCACUUACUGUUUCCAAUUACAACAGCUGCUCUAAACACUUACCUGUGACCAGUAGGUCAUGUAUCACUUACUGUUUCCAAUUACAACAGCUGCUCUCAACACUUACCUGUGACCAGUAGGUCAUGUAUCACUUACUGUUUCCAAUUACAACAGCUGCUCUAAACACUUACCUGUGACCAGUAGGUCAUGUAUCACUUACUGUUUCCAAUUACAACAGCUGCUCUAAACACUUACCUGUGACCAGUAGGUCAUGUAUCAAUUACUGUUUCCAAUUACAACAGCUGCUCUAAACACUUACCUGUGACCAGUAGGUCAUGUAUCACUUACUGUUUCCAAUUACAACAGCUGCUCUAAACACUUACCUGUGACCAGUAGGUCAUGUAUCACUUACUGUUUCCAAUUACAACAGCUGCUCUAAACACUUACCUGUGACCAGUAGGUCAUGUAUCACUUACUGUUUCCAAUUACAACAGCUGCUCUAAACACUUACCUGUGACCAGUAGGUCAUGUAUCAAUUACUGUUUCCAAUUACAACAGCUGCUCUAAACACUUACCUGUGACCAGUAGGUCAUGUAUCAAUUACUGUUUCCAAUUACAACAGCUGCUCUAAACACUUACCUGUGACCAGUAGGUCAUGUAUCACUUACUGUUUCCAAUUACAACAGCUGCUCUAAACACUUACCUGUGACCAGUAGGUCAUGUAUCAAUUACUGUUUCCAAUUACAACAGCUGCUCUAAACACUUACCUGUGACCAGUAGGUCAUGUAUCACUUACUGUUUCCAAUUACAACAGCUGCUCUAAACACUUACCUGUGACCAGUAGGUCAUGUAUCACUUACUGUUUCCAAUUACAACAGCUGCUCUAAACACUUACCUGUGACCAGUAGGUCAUGUAUCACUUACUGUUUCCAAUUACAACAGCUGCUCUAAACACUUACCUGUGACCAGUAGGUCAUGUAUCACUUACUGUUUCCAAUUACAACAGCUGCUCUAAACACUUACCUGUGACCAGUAGGUCAUGUAUCACUUACUGUUUCCAAUUACAACAGCUGCUCUAAACACUUACCUGUGACCAGUAGGUCAUGUAUCACCUACUGUUUCCAAUUACAACAGCUGCUCUAAACACUUACCUGUGACCAGUAGGUCAUGUAUCACUUACUGUUUCCAAUUACAACAGCUGCUCUAAACACUUACCUGUGACCAGUAGGUCAUGUAUCACUUACUGUUUCCAAUUACAACAGCUGCUCUAAACACUUACCUGUGACCAGUAGGUCAUGUAUCACUUACUGUUUCCAAUUACAACAGCUGCUCUAAACACUUACCUGUGACCAGUAGGUC